UGGGGAAUUUUGGACAAUGGGCGAAAGCCUGAUCCAGCAAUGCCGCGUGUGUGAAGAAGGCCUUCGGGUUGUAAAGCACUUUUGUCCGGAAAGAAAUCCUUGGCUCUAAUACAGUCGGGGGAUGACGGUACCGGAAGAAUAAGCACCGGCUAACUACGUGCCAGCAGCCGCGGUAAUACGUAGGGUGCAAGCGUUAAUCGGAAUUACUGGGCGUAAAGCGUGCGCAGGCGGUUUGCUAAGACCGAUGUGAAAUCCCCGGGCUCAACCUGGGAACUGCAUUGGUGACUGGCAGGCUAGAGUAUGGCAGAGGGGGGUAGAAUUCCACGUGUAGCAGUGAAAUGCGUAGAGAUGUGGAGGAAUACCGAUGGCGAAGGCAGCCCCCUGGGCCAAUACUGACGCUCAUGCACGAAAGCGGGGGGAGCAAACAGG
rnacentral:rRNA from 1 species